GGAGCACGUGAAAUUCCGUCUGAAUCAGGGGGGCCCAUCCUCCAAGGCUAAAUACCAUAAGCGACCGAUAGUGGAGGCAGUACCGAGAGGGAAAGGUGAAAAGCACCCCUGGCGGGGAGUGAAAGAGACCUGAAACCGCGUGCCUACAAGCAAUCGGAGCGGCGCAAGCCGUGACGGUGUGCCUCUUGGAAAAUGAGCCGGCGAGUUUUUUUCGUGGCGAGGUUAAGGACUAGGAGGUCCGGAGCCGCAGGGAAACCGAGUCCGAAGAGGGCGUAGAGUCGCGAGGAAAAGACCCGAAGCCCGACGAUCUAUCCAUGGGCCAGGUAAAGAUCGGGUUAAACCGAUUGGAGAACCGAACCCGGUGCCCUGUUGAAAAAGUCUCGGAUGAGCUGUGGAUAGGAGUGAAAAGCUAAUCGAGUCGGGUGAUACUGGUUCUCCCGAAAUGCAUUGAGGUGCAGCCUCAUGGGCAGAAGGUCACGGGGUAGAGCACCGGAUGGUGCGGGGGUCGCAGGACCUACCAAAUCCAACUGAACUCGCAAUACCGUAGACCGGAUCCAUGGGAGUGAGACUGCGGGUGAGAAGGUCCGUAGUCGAGAGGGAAACAACCCAGACCGACAGCUAAGGCCCCCGAAUGGCAAGCUAAGUGUGACAAGGAUGUGGUGACGCCCAGACAGCCAGGAGGUUGGCUUAGAAGCAGCCACCCUUGAAAAGAGUGCGUAAUAGCUCACUGGUCGGAGCGUUGCCGCGCCGAAAAUGUGGGGGCUAAGCUUGCAGCCGAAGCUUCGGAUCGAGAUCGGAAGAUCUUGGUAAGUAGGGAGCGUUCCGUAUGGGGAGAAGUUCGAGUCGUGAGGCUUGGUGGACCGUACGGAAGCGAGAAUGCCGGCAUGAGUAGCGCGAAAACAUGUGAGAAUCAUGUUCACCGGAAGCCCAAGGAUUCCUGGGGAAGGUUGAUCCCGCCCAGGGUUAGGCGGGACCUAAGCCGAGGCCGAAAGGCGUAGGCGAUGGCCAGCAGGUAGACAUUCCUGCCCCGUUUGGUGGCCGUUAUUACCGAAAGCGGUGACGCAGCAGGGCUAGGUGUGCGGGUGAUGGACGUCCCGGUGCAAAGGCGUAGGGAGGAUUCGUAGGCAAAUCCGCGAGUCCAUAAUCCUGAGACCUGACGCGGAGCUUUCACGGAAGCGAAGACAUUGACGCCCCACUGCCGAGAAAAGCCGCUAGGGAGGACAUCGAGCGCCCGUACUGUAAACCGACCGCAGGUGGGCUGGCUGAGCAGGCUAAGGUGAACGGGAAAACCCCUCGUUAAGGAACUCUGCAAGUUAACCCCGUAACUUCGGGAGAAGGGGUGCCACCCUGGUGAAGAAAAAGACUUUUGGAGCUGAGGGUGGCCGGCAGAACCCAGGCCCAGGCCGACUGUUUACUAAAAAACACAGGUCUCUGCAUAAGCCGUAAGGCGACGUAAUAGGGACUGACGCCUGCCCGGUGCUGGAAGGUUAAGGGGAGAGGUCAGCGCAAGCGAAGCUUUGAACCGAAGCCCCAGUAAACGGCGGCCGUAACUAUAACGGUCCUAAGGUAGCGAAAUUUCCUUGUCGGGUUAAGUUCCGACCUGCACGAAAGGCGUAACGAUCUGGGCCGCUGUCUCGACGAGGGACCCGGCGAAAUUGUGGUACUUGGUAAAGACGCCAGUUACCCCGUGGUGGGACGGAAAGACCCCGUGGAGCUUUACUGUAGCCUGAUAUUGGAUUUCGGUAGAUCAUGCACAGGAUAGGUGGGAGGCAUUGAAGCGAGGACUUCGGUUUUCGUGGAGCCGACGUUGGGAUACCACCUUGAUGUGCUGGGAUUCUAACGGCGUCGCGUGAAUCCGCGCGCCGGACAGUGUCAGUGGGGCAGUUUGACUGGGGCGGUUCGCCUCCCAAAGAGUAACGGGAGGCGCGGCGAAGGUUACUCAGGGGCGAAUGGAAUCGCCCGUUGAGCGCAGGCUAUAAGGUAGCCUGACUGUGAGAGAGACAUCUCGAGCAGGAGCGAAAGCUUGGUCCUAGUGAUCCGGCGGUGCUGUGUGGAAAGGCGUCGCUCAUCGGAAUAAAAGCUACCCCCGGGGAUAACAGGCUGAUCUCCCCGAGAGUUCCCAUCGACGGGGAGGUUUGGCACCUCGAUGUCGGCUCGUCGCAUCCUGGGGCUGAAGCAGGUCCCAAGGGUUGCGUCUGUUCGCCCAUUAAAGCGGUACGUGAGCUGGGUUUUAGAACGUCGUGAGACAGUUCGCGUUCCCUAUCCACCAGUGGGGGAUAGGCCGAACCUUGGGGAGAGCCUGCUUCACCCCCAGGAUGCGACGAGCCGCACAUCGAGUGCCAAACCCCGUCGAUGGGAAUCUCGGGGGAGAUCAGCCUGUUUAUCCCCGGGGUAGCUUUUAUCCGAUGAGCGACGGCCUUUCCACAGCACCGCCGGAUCACUAGGGACAGCUUUCGCUUCCUGCUCGAGAUGUCUCUCUCACAGUCAGGCUACCUUAUACCCUUGCGCUCAACGGGCGAUUUCCAUUCGCCCU
rnacentral:rRNA from 1 species